AGCAGACUUGGAUUCUUCCCGAAAACCAACAAUACCCUUGUCGGAAAACCCAGAUUUGGCAUCACAAUUUUCCCUGAUACGCUCAGAAACAUGGCGCAAAAGCUUAGUCCGAGAGUUCUCGCCAUCGGAGGCGAGAUCUUUGGGCUCGAACAUGCCUUGAAAUCAGGUGGUGAGAGAAGUGAAAAGGGAAAUUGAAAAUAG
rnacentral:misc_RNA from 1 species